GCUGCUGAGUGCCUCCUGCUGUCACAGACUGGGAUGGAGUGGAGGGAAGGGGAUCAAGAAGCAGGGAUGGUGGGGGGGGUAGCCCCCCAACUGCAGCAAGCUGAGGGUCUGAGGCGGGAAGUUCCUUCUGCAGCCCCAUGCUCUGAGGGCUGAGCGCUUUGAGACCGUCACUAUUCGCCAUCCCGGAGAGGUAACUGGAGCACUCCCAUUGGUUUAGGCCACCAGCCAGAGACCUGCCCGGGCCUCCGGGGCAGCUGUCCCCUUUGCCACAGUGACUGGAGGAGCUGUUGGACCAGAUCAAGGCAGGCCCCGCCGCAGCAGGGGGUGUGGACCAGCCACCUGCGUCCGGGAGAUGGCCGAGUUCCUGGCCUUCCCUUUGUGGAAGCUGCCCUGGAUUUUCCAUAUCAAUAACGCAAGGAGAACAAGAACAGAAGUGGACCCAUCCUUAUGGAGCUUGGUCUAGCGACAUCAAACAGAUCAACAGCAUUGAGGGCUCUUGGAAAGCCCCCCAUCUAGUCCCGGCCUCUGGGAAGAGUGCGAUGCUCUUGCACAGUGCCUGGGGGGCACACAGGGGCCAGGCGCCAGGUGCUCCGAGCUGACCUGUACCUGAAGAAGAGGUGGCGCCGGAAGGCCCUUCCUCCUGUCGGAGCAGGACGCAGACAGCCCUGGAGGCCAAGGAACCACUGUGACUUCACCAGGGACUGGCACAGGGGGAGAAACGACCUCCACACCCGCCCCUCACUCAGCUCCCAGUCCUUCCUCCCCUCCCUCCUUCCCUUCCUUCUUUCCAUGUUCCCUCCCUCCCUCCCUUCCUUCCUUUCUCUCUUAUUGAGGUGAAAUUCACCUAACAAAACUAAAUAUUUUUAAAAUGUACAAUUCCAUGCAUUCACAAUGUUGUGCGACCAGUACCUCUACCCAGUUCUAAACAUUUUCA